UGGUGGAGCGAUUUGUCUGGUCAAUUCCGAUAACGAACGAGACUCUAGCCUACUAAAUAGUUCGGGGACCCCCACAAAGGGGCCCCGCUUCAACUUCUUAGAGGGACAGGUGGCGUUUAGGCACGCGAGAUUGAGCAAUAACA
rnacentral:rRNA from 1 species